UACGUAGGGUGCAAGCGUUAAUCGGAAUUACUGGGCGUAAAGCGUGCGCAGGCGGUGAUGUAAGACAGAUGUGAAAUCCCCGGGCUCAACCUGGGAACUGCAUUUGUGACUGCAUCGCUGGAGUGCGGCAGAGGGGGAUGGAAUUCCGCGUGUAGCAGUGAAAUGCGUAGAUAUGCGGAGGAACACCAAUGGCGAAGGCAGCUCGCUGGGACGGUACUGACGCUGAGGCGCGAAAGCGUGGGGAGCAAACAGG
rnacentral:rRNA from 1 species